rnacentral:rRNA from 1 species
AGAGUUUGAUCCUGGCUCAGGAUGAACGCUAGCGGCAGGCUUAACACAUGCAAGUCGAGGGGCAGCACGAGGUAGCAAUACUUUGGUGGCGACCGGCGCACGGGUGCGUAACGCGUAUGCAACCUACCUUUAACAGGGGCAUAACACUGAGAAAUUGGUACUAAUUCCCCAUAACAUUCGAGAAGGCAUCUUCUUGGGUUAAAAACUCCGGUGGUUAAAGAUGGGCAUGCGUUGUAUUAGCUAGUUGGUGAGGUAACGGCUCACCAAGGCAACGAUACAUAGGGGGACUGAGAGGUUAACCCCCCACAUUGGUACUGAGACACGGACCAAACUCCUACGGGAGGCAGCAGUGAGGAAUAUUGGUCAAUGGACGCAAGUCUGAACCAGCCAUGCCGCGUGCAGGAAGACGGCUCUAUGAGUUGUAAACUGCUUUUGUACUAGGGUAAACGCUCUUACGUGUAGGAGCCUGAAAGUAUAGUACGAAUAAGGAUCGGCUAACUCCGUGCCAGCAGCCGCGGUAAUACGGAGGAUCCAAGCGUUAUCCGGAUUUAUUGGGUUUAAAGGGUGCGUAGGCGGUUUGAUAAGUUAGAGGUGAAAUACCGGGGCUCAACUCCGGAACUGCCUCUAAUACUGUUGAACUAGAGAGUAGUUGCGGUAGGCGGAAUGUAUGGUGUAGCGGUGAAAUGCUUAGAGAUCAUACAGAACACCGAUUGCGAAGGCAGCUUACCAAACUAUAUCUGACGUUGAGGCACGAAAGCGUGGGGAGCAAACAGGAUUAGAUACCCUGGUAGUCCACGCAGUAAACGAUGAUAACUCGUUGUCGGCGAUACACAGUCGGUGACUAAGCGAAAGCGAUAAGUUAUCCACCUGGGGAGUACGUUCGCAAGAAUGAAACUCAAAGGAAUUGACGGGGGCCCGCACAAGCGGAGGAACAUGUG